GAUGAAGAACGUAGUGAAAUGCGAUAAGUAGUGUGAAUUGCAGAAUUCAGUGAAUCAUCGAGUCUUUGAACGCACAUUGCGCCCCCUGGCAUUCCGGGGGGCAUGCCUGUCCGAGCGUCAUUGCUGCCCUUCAAGCCCGGCUUGUGUGUUGGGUCGUCGUCCCCCCCGGGGGACGGGCCCGAAAGGCAGCGGCGGCACCGCGUCCGGUCCUCGAGCGUAUGGGGCUUUGUCACCCGCUCGAUUAGGGCCGGCCGGGCGCCAGCCGGCGUCUCCAACCUUCUAUUUUACCAGGUUGACCUCGGAUCAGGUAGGGAUACCCGCUGAACUUAAGCAUAUCAAUAAGCGGAGGA
rnacentral:misc_RNA from 1 species